UCCAGUCUAAGAGCUCGGAGUGGUGUGGUCUCCAAGUAUAUCCCGCCUUUUACUGCAGGGGAUUUCGGAAUAAUACACCCAUGAAAACAAAAAUCUGAGUUCCGUGAAUAGAGGAUGGCUGCGGUUUGCGUGUAGACUCUCAUCUUCCCGUCGCCUUCCAUCCCAACGCUUCCACCUCUACGCUCUUCUCUUUUCUUCUCUGGGUCCCUUCCCUCAUGUUCUGGGCUGGUUCCAUCAAAAGUCUGAUGGGUUAUGAAUCAACAUUUCUGCCCCUGGGAGGAAGUGGGCUCCGGGUUUGCCGUAAGUGAUCGGAUUGUCUUUGGUGCUUUAAUUUGAAGAUUCGUUUCUCCUUAUUGGUGAGCCAGCGCCUGUUCUCCUCUUCCACUCAGUUUUCCUUUGGGUCUCUUUUGGGCUUUCCCCAUUUGCAGCUUCUGUCUGCCUCGGGAGCGUGGCUGGUCCUGGAAGCUCUGUUAUCUAAAAUUUGAGCCCUGUCCUUGCUAGAAACACUUGAGGAAGGACGGCUGAGUUAUCCGUUGACUCUAAUGGCAUUGUGGUGUGUUCAUUGUCUUUCUUCUCUUGUGACUGUGAGCUGGCUGUAACAGGCCCUGUUGGAUUGCACAAAAUGCUCCCCCCAACAACACACACACACACACACGCAAAUUGACAUCAACUCCUGGGCCACCGAUUUGCCGCGUGACCUUGGACAAGUCUCUCCAUCUCUGGGUCUUCUUUCUUUCUUGGUUGAGUGAAGGGAUUGUCUUCCAUGGUCUCUGAGAUCUCAUCCUACUGUCAUGCCCUGGAAGUCUCUGAAUUCGAGAUCCUCCUUUGCUUUUGGAGAGGAGACAGGACAGUCGGGCAUGGAGGUUAUGUCUCCAGUCUUCUGAUUGUAAAAGAGGGCAGAUUCCAUGAAGCCCAGUCUGUAAAACACAGAGGGCUUUGCUGCGAGUACAUGAACAUCAAGUUCUAGAGCACAGAAGCUGGAAGGCCACCUGAAGAUUCUGGCUCCAGGCGUGGGGGCUUCAGAAGACAGGGGGCUGCUGCGUGAGCUCCACACUCCUGUUUUAACUUCCUUUACGCAAAGCUUUUUUGUUUUAUUUACGUUGGCAUUGUGUUUUGGAACAAAGGAUUUCAAGGCCAUAAAAUGUUUAAAACUCA